GUCCAGAAUGACUCUCGGCAACGGAUAUCUCGGCUCUUGCAUCGAUGAAGAACGCAGCNAAAUGCGAUACUUGGUGUGAAUUGCAGAAUCCCGUGAACCAUCGAGUCUUUGAACGCAAGUUGCGCCCGAAGCCAUUAGGCCGAGGGCACGCCUGCCUGGGUGUCACUAA
rnacentral:rRNA from 1 species